rnacentral:rRNA from 1 species
UACAGAGGUCCCAAGCGUUGUUCGGAUUUACUGGGCGUAAAGGGUGCGUAGGCGGUCGGGUAAGUCUGAUGUGAAAUCUCCGAGCCUAACUCGGAAACUGCAUUGGAUACUAUUCGGCUUGAGAGUUGGAGGGGGGACUGGAAUUCUCGGUGUAGCAGUGAAAUGCGUAGAUAUCAGGAGGAACACCUGCGGUGUAGACGGCUUUCUGGACCAUUGCUGACGCUGAGACACGAAAGCGUGGGUAGCAAACAGG